UUCAAGCUAUAAUUAAUAUUUGUAUUAUCAUCAUUUACUUUAAAAGUCUAGCCUCUACGAUUUUCCUACUAAUUUCAAAAUGAACACUCCGGAGAGAAAUCUUUUACCUUGUGCUGUGUCAAUCUGCUACUCUUCUCAUGUGAACUCCAGUGAAAUUUAUUAUUACCAUAGAUUUACCAAAGCCAAGGACAUUCGUGCAAAAUGGAUCCAAGCUUGUCAUAGACAAGACCCAUUCAAUUGCGAAACUGCCAGGGUUUCUUCUAGACAUUUUGAGGAAGACUACCUUCAGAGAAAUCUAAAGGUCAAACUCAUGUCUAAUUACGGAAAGACUUCUAUUAGCAAGGAUCGGAAAAUUUUGAAAUCAAAUGUUUUUCUUACUUUAUAUUUGGUUCCUGAAAGUUCUAUUCGAGCCUCGGAGACAGAGAAAUAAAAUAUUAAAAGGACAAAAAGGCUCUCCUCCAGGAACACAAAAAAAAAAUUGUUAAUGGACUUCUCACUACUCCCAAAUAAGGAAGUUUGAAAGUUGAUAAGCCCCCUGAAGAAUGUUCGGAUGCUAUAGAAGUAUCAUUUGAAUAUUUAAAACCUUCUUUGGAUGUACCCUUGGGCACUAUUGAAGAGCAUGUAGUACCACAACAAAAUAUAAAUAUGCCAGUACAGACAUAUAUAUAUAAUGAACAGCUUCCCUUACCAGCUUGAUCCACAUUAAGGAAAUGGAUUUCCAAAAUUUAAAUGUGGUCCUGGAAUUCAAUACAAACUUUUGGACAUUUUAAAUAAACAAAUGAGCUCUCUCAAAUGGAUGUCCAUUUAAGCCGUCUUGGAGUGUUGUCUUUCAAUGAAAUGGAAUUGAAACCAAGUUAUGACUAUUCUUGAUCUUUUGAUCAAGUCUUUGAUCCGAACAAGAAGAUUCAGGUGGCAAUGAUUCGUGGUCUUUGUGAUUCUUGGAAGAUGCCUGUUUAUUUUGAUUCUGACAAUGCAAUGACUAUUGAAAAUCUAUUCUGUAUUAUUUAAAAAAUAUAACAAAGCGCAAUAUUUGUAGUGGCCUCCAAUUUUUUUUUCGAAACUUUGAACAGAAAAGGGCAUUCAUUCCGGGUGAUAACAUGGAGAAAGACCCUCUUCAGCAUAACCUCCAUCAUAGUAUCCCAGGGACAACUACAUUGUCAAAUCAAUUUUUCUCCAGACAUAUCAGAAUAACAUGGCAAUUAAUAUUCAAUUAAGUCAUUAAU
rnacentral:lncRNA from 1 species